AGUGAACGCUGGCGGUAGGCCUAACACAUGCAAGUCGAACGGCAGCACAGUCUGAGCUUGCUCUUACGGGUGGCGAGUGGUGGACGGGUGAGGAAUACAUCGGAAUCUACUUUUUCGUGGGGGAUAACGUAGGGAAACUUACGCUAAUACCGCAUACGACCUACGGGUGAAAGCAGGGGAUCUUCGGACCUUGCGCGAUUGAAUGAGCCGAUGUCGGAUUUGCUAGUUGGCGGGGUAAAGGCCCACCAAGGCGACGAUCCGUAGCUGGUCUGAGAGGAUGAGCAGCCAGACUGGAACUGAGACACGGUCCAGAGGCCUACGGGAGACAGCAGUGGGGAAUAUUGGACAAUGGGCGCAAGCCUGAUCCAGCCAUACCGCGUGGGUGAAGAAGGCCUUCGGGUUGUAAAGCCCUUUUGUUGGGAUAGAAAAGCAGCAGGUUAAUACCCCGCUGUUCUGACGGUACCCAAAGAAUAAGCACCGGCUAACUUCGUG
rnacentral:rRNA from 1 species